ensembl:lncRNA
GCGAGGCAAUGCAAGGCGGGUCUAGGCAAGGCGAGGCGAGGCAGGGUGGGGCGCGAUGAGGCGAGGCGGGGCGGGGUGUGGCGAGGGAAAGCGAGGUGGGGCGAGGGGAGGCGAGGUGGGACGAGGUGAGGCGAGGCGAGAAGAGGCACGGCGAGGUGAGGCGGGGUGGGGCGGGGCGGGGCCAGGCAUGGUGAGGCGAGGUGAAGCAAGCAGGGCGAGGCGAGGCGUGGCUGGCAAAGCGGGGUGGGGAGGGGCGAGGUGAUUAGGGGGAGCGAGGCGGGGUGAGGCGAGGUGAGGCGGGGCGAAACGAGGCGUGGCAGGCG